AAAACAUACCCUGUUCUAGACAAGCACAGAAAAUGUAUACCCUGUUGUAGACCGUAUAAAAUAGAUGCUGUUCUAGACCCGGGUUGUAGACUGUAUCUUAAACAGUUAAAUAAGUGGUCCUGUAGGCUAGACAAAUACUUUUGUUUUAAAAAAGAACCUGUUCUCACCAGCAAGGCAUGGAAAAGCGACCCUGUUCUAACCAGCAGGACACGAGAAAGGGACCCUGUUCUAACCAGCAGGGCAUGAAAAAGGGACCCUGUUUGCGGCACACUCA
rnacentral:lncRNA from 1 species